UUUAUGGGGUUCAUCAUAAUCAAAAAAUAAGACACAACAUAUGAUGAACUAAAUGCCUUUGUUUAUCUAAAACAUCAGUACAUGAGUUGUCGGGAGACAAAAGAAUAUCCAUCAAAUUACACAUUUUGAUUGGUUUAUAGGGCAUAUUCCUUUCAGAGGGCGAAGCUCUCAGGGAAGAAGAAGGGACCGAAGAAAAAUCUCAGGCA
rnacentral:lncRNA from 1 species